GCUCAGGACGAACGCUGGCGGCGUGCUUAACACAUGCAAGUCGAACGAUGAACCACUUCGGUGGGGAUUAGUGGCGAACGGGUGAGUAACACGUGGGCAAUCUGCCCUUCACUCUGGGACAAGCCCUGGAAACGGGGUCUAAUACCGGAUAUGACCAUCUUGGGCAUCCUUGAUGGUGUAAAGCUCCGGCGGUGAAGGAUGAGCCCGCGGCCUAUCAGCUUGUUGGUGAGGUAAUGGCUCACCAAGGCGACGACGGGUAGCCGGCCUGAGAGGGCGACCGGCCACACUGGGACUGAGACACGGCCCAGACUCCUACGGGAGGCAGCAGUGGGGAAUAUUGCACAAUGGGCGAAAGCCUGAUGCAGCGACGCCGCGUGAGGGAUGACGGCCUUCGGGUUGUAAACCUCUUUCAGCAGGGAAGAAGCGAAAGUGACGGUACCUGCAGAAGAAGCGCCGGCUAACUACGUGCCAGCAGCCGCGGUAAUACGUAGGGCGCAAGCGUUGUCCGGAAUUAUUGGGCGUAAAGAGCUCGUAGGCGGCUUGUCACGUCGGGUGUGAAAGCCCGGGGCUUAACCCCGGGUCUGCAUUCGAUACGGGCUAGCUAGAGUGUGGUAGGGGAGAUCGGAAUUCCUGGUGUAGCGGUGAAAUGCGCAGAUAUCAGGAGGAACACCGGUGGCGAAGGCGGAUCUCUGGGCCAUUACUGACGCUGAGGAGCGAAAGCGUGGGGAGCGAACAGGAUUAGAUACCCUGGUAGUCCACGCCGUAAACGGUGGGAACUA
rnacentral:rRNA from 1 species